GACGGAAGGUGCAAGCGUUGCUCGGAAUCACUGGGCGUAAAGGGUGCGUAGGCGGCCGUGCAAGUCUGGCGUGAAAGCCCCGGGCUCAGCCCGGGAAGUGCGCUCGAAACUGCGCGGCUCGAGUGCCGGAGGGGAGAGUGGAAUUCCUGGUGUAGCGGUGAAAUGCGCAGAUAUCAGGAGGAACACCAAUGGCGAAGGCAGCUCGCUGGGACGUGACUGACGCUGAGACGCGAAAGCGUGGGGAGCAAACAGG
rnacentral:rRNA from 1 species